CAUACCAUUUGUAUCCGUCACUGAUCAUGACAAACAUGUUUGCAUGCAGAUCGGAAUAUCUUAUGAUAAGCACGAAGAUAUAUUUUAUUCUGUCAAAAGCAAAAUUGUUAGUAAAUAACACAUUUAGGACAAAAACGUGUAUUAAUAUCGUUUCAUGAAUAUUUAUACAGGUUAGUUUAAUUUCAAAACAAAGAAUGACCAGUAGAUUUCUACAUAAAUAGUAACAUGGCAGAAAAGGGUGCUUAUUUAACUGGAACUGUAUAUAAUAGGCCUACUCUUUUUGAAAUUCUUGCACAGAAAUCACUUGCAUCUACUCUUGAACCGGCUUUUAAAAAGGUUCUUUCGUUUCUUGUAUCUUUCAAUCCUGAAAGAUAUAGACAUGUUCUUCAAUGGGAAGAUGAAGGUUAUUUGUUAUUUAAUAUACUUCUUCAGAGAUAUUACCUAAGAAAAUAUUCUGCAUCCUUUUCUGAAACAUUUUAUGGUUUGAAGCGUAUUGUGGUAGUCAAUUCAGAAACUAGUCAGUCAGAACUUAAAGAAAAACUAUCACGCAAACAAAAAAUACUAUCAUUGAUAUCACUCGCAUUAUUACCAUAUCUGAAAACUAAACUUGCACAACUCAUCUUAAAAUAUCAAUUUGAAGAAGCAGAUGGUUGCGUAACACAAGGGAGAUUGCAGAGGCUUUUCCGUAAAUGUGUCAUUAGAGGACAUUUAAUUCUCUUUACAUUGUACAAAUCCUUAGAGAUCUACAGUUACAUACUUUAUAUAUCAGAAGAAUCGAUGUAUCCAUCAUCCUUACUAAGACUGUUACGUAUUACAUUGACAUACUCCGAGCCACAGUCCACUCAAACUAUCAUGGAUCUACUAAAUAAACUAAAACAUAAUUCGUUCACCUUCGACGAUGGAUGGGACAUGUUUCAGAGAACUGUUACUUCUUGCCUCGAGUUGGGGGCUUUCUUCCUACAGUUCCUUUCUUGGUGGAAUCAAGAGAAUUAUAUGACAGACCUUAUGAAUCUUCCAUCUCCACCACCUCCAGAUGUGUCAAAGACUGCAUUACGUCACAAAGGUACCUGUCCACUUUGCCACAUGCCUCAGCGUAUACAUACUGUCCUUAUGGUGUCUGGUUUUGUUUUUUGUUAUCAAUGUAUUUUGUCGGAAGUACGCGAAAACAAGAGAUGUCCAGUGACGCAUUAUCCUGCCACGGAGGACGAUUUAGUACGCCUAUACAUAGAUACAUAAACUCGUCUAGAUCGAUAUAUAUAUUUAGAUUGUUCUAUGUAUAAAAUUUAAACUCAGGGGUGUAAAUACAGCGCAAAUAUUACUUUUUAGCUAACAUCACACACUGUUCCAAGGUGUUCAAUUAUUUAUUUACUGUAUAUUAUACAGGUGCAUUGGUAAAUAAAGGAAGAACAUUUCUUAUUCUCAAAAUAACAAACUUUAUUCUUAUGACUUCUCAGCAUAUUAAAUGGCAAGGUUCUAAUCGCUUCUAAUCACUAAACUAAUGACUAUAAUAUAAUCUUUACAAACUUACAUUUCGAUAAAAUAUAGCAAUCUUCGAUAUAGCGAAUUUCAAAAUUAUAUCGCUAUCGUAGAGUUAUAGUAAAACAUACGCCGAGUCGGAAAACGGCAACAAAUAACAUUCCAAAGUGAUUUCGAUGUAUUAAUGCACGAUGCUUCGAAGAUUGAAUUGCUAAUGCGGUGAAAGUGCUCAGUGUGACUACCGGUUAUGUACAAAUAACGCUCUCUAACAAAAUAAAACCGUCUAAGACACAUUAUAACGUAAUAAGGCACAUUCUUCUUAAGAAUAUGUAAUUGAAUCUAAUUACUGCUUCGGAGAGAAUUUUAUUCCUUUGUUCGUGUGCGAGACAAAAUGUCAAUCAAUCUCUUCUAGUCUUUCUUUGCUUUUAUUUUGGUCAACCUUGGAAUCUUUACGAUUUACUUAGAUAUUUAUAAAUAGAACAUUCAAGAAUAUAAUAAAAAAUAUUUACCGUUUUUAUUGAUGGUCCAAUAUUUAGUUUCAAUAACGACACAAUGUCACUUUACAGUUAUUGUACAUAUAUGUAAUCAUACUGGAAACAGUCAUGCAUUGGGCAUCAAGUAUCAGUAUUAACUGCUAAUUGUAUCUAGAAUAUUGUGCGUCGUAAAAAGUGCCAAUAGACAUUAUCACUUUCUUUAUCUAUAAACUUCAAAUUAAAGAUAACGAAAAUACGUCCAAUGUGAAUUUUAAAUAUCAAUUAAUAGCUAAAAAUCGAAAAAGUUAGUCCGAAAUUCUAAUAUUCACAGGCACGAAAAUGAAUUAUCGAUGCUCAAGUUUAUGAUGAUGCAAGAUGAAUCACAGAUAAUGUUGUUAUAAUUUAACUCGUGAGAACGAAAUAAGGUGAGAGAGAUUUUACGAAGGAACUCUUAUAUGUGCACAUAUAAAUAAAAAUAUACUUUUCCAAUAAUUUUUUCCAUUGUCAUAAUGCGUAUUCUACGAUUCUCUUAAGUGUACAUGAGAAUUCUUCUAAACUGAAUUAUCGCAAGACGUAUAUCGAUAGGCGACAGAUUUAAACGCAUUACACAGAGCAUUUUCAAUUCUUUGGAAAAUAAAAGUAAAUAUGUUGCAGAGAAAAGUAGAAAAGUCACUAUGCGAUUACGAAGCAAUUGUAUUUUGCUGAACGCAACCAGGCUUGCAACAAUUUGAAAAACAUGCUACAUCUCUAUAAAAAUAGAAUUCUCUUCGAAGAUUUUAUAUCUUUUGGCAUAUUGCCAAAUAUAAUUUACUAAACAUGUUUGAUAAACGUGCACGAUAGAGAAACAUACUGAAAACAAUAUCAGAUAUAAAAUAUUCACUCGAAUUUAUAAGAAUACAUAUACAUAUUAAAACGGAUACGUAUCUGAAUGAAAAUAGCAUAUUUAUUUUGAUUUACUUCGUGUCAUUCUCAUAGACGAGUCGAAUGAUUACACACAUUUAACUGUUAGCAUGCAGAUUCAUCUAUCAUGCUGCAUCUUAUAACAAUGUGAAAUGUACAUAUUGUGUGUAUACACAAAAUGCUUCAUCAGUACCGGACUGAAUCUUAAUAGCAGAUUUUUCAACAAAGUCAUAGUUGAUUAUUCAAUAAUCAACGUUAAAUGUAUUAUAUUUAUAUUUUACAUAAAAUCUAAAAUUGAAAGAUAAAAUUUGGUCAAAAUGAAUUCGAUUUGUCGUCAAUAAUAUAAUUUCCAAUAUGUAGAAAGUAGAUUACCUCAUCUACUUUCUGAAACGUUUGUUAUUAGAAGAUAUUAAUUCUGCCAAAAGAUAUUAAUUCUCCUAAAAAACUUAAGACAUCUCGUUCGGUAGCAAUGAAACGUUCCAUGUAUAAAGCGUACGUUUGAGUAUUCUAUAACGUAUACGUACGUACGUAUCUAUACAUCAUUUUCUUAUAAUUUUCAAAUUCAAUUGAGAGAAUUUUACUAGUGCUUUACUCAGCAUGGGGAUAGAAGAGGAGCAUUUAAUCGACACUGCCGUGUUAAAGAAGUUCUUAAGGAAAAAUAUCGUACUUGUAUUAUAAUUCCUCAAAGAAGGCAACUCUAGCUUUAGUAGAGCCAGAUUUCACUUUCUUCAAUGUACUAUACUUGUUCUCACCGAGUCGAACCUGCUCUUCGUGCAGUUGAUCUAACUCGCACUGCUUCUCGCCGACCUUCAUAACUUCAAUUUCGGAACGUAAUUCCCGCAGUUGUUCCUGUAGAUGUUUGCUCUUCUCCCAAUAAUCAACUCUUUCCUUCUCGAUUUCCAGCGAGAGUUGAUCGACAUCUCCUUCAGCAAUGAGAUCAUAGGAACGCAGAUCAGGUAGGGGUUCCGUAUCGAGUUGAAUAUUCUGAAGAUCUGCUUGAAGGUCCGAUGGUAGAACUUGCGUCGAGGGAAACAAGUUCGACACAGGCUGCAUAGACAAGUUGAACAAAUAAUUCGUAAAUCAGCAAUGUGAUAUUUUACACCAAAUGUCAAAUAUACUAAUAGAUGUCCUAAUAUUCGCUAAACUUAAAUAUAUAUAAUUAAUUAAUAAUAUUAAUUAUUUUGGGAAAAAACAGACACACACAACACGAAACAAUAACUACUAACGUUCGACAUUGCGAUUAUAUUACAAACAAAAAACUAAAUGCAAAACAAAAGUAAAUUAAAUGCAAAAGCAGAAAUAAUUUUAUAUUAAAACAAGUGAACAGAUUUAUACUUACAGGUAUAGUAGCACUAUAAGCGUUUCUACUGAGGAACUCUAACAGCUUUUCCUUGGCUUCUUUUUCAGCGAUUCUUGCGCGUAACAAUUCGUCUUUCAAUUUUUCCGCCUCGGCAGCUCUACGCUCCGAUUCUUGCACCAGUCUUUCCGUUAAAAGUUCAGCUUCUCUAGUCUUUCGUUCCAAAUGGACCUUCUCUUCUUCAGUCUUCAUGUUAUUCAACCGUAUGCGAGUGAUUUCUUGCUCGGCUUCUGAUGCUUUUUGGCUUAAAAGCAUCGCUUCUUCUUCAGCUACGCGACUUUUCUCAGCUAAAAGAUCUGCUGUUUCUUCAGAUCUCCUCUAAAAACAGGAGAUCAAUUGCAAUCUAAAUAUAUAAUGUAUAAAUAUAACCAAGUAUAUUAAAUUAUACACUUAUAAUUAAUACAUAGACUGGCACACAAUUGAGCCUUAAUAUCUAGUGACACAAUAGAACUCGCAUCAUAUUUAUAUAACUGUAGAUCUCAUAACCGUUAAUUAUCAAGAGAUGAUAAUUAUAAAAAUAUACAUGAAAUUUUUGCAAGAUACUUGUAAUAACACCUAAAAACAAGCUACAAAUACGAUACAACAAUCUAGGAUUAUUUAAGAUAACCUUGAAAAUGUCUAUUUACGAUUUAAAUAUUAUCAGCAUAGAUACUAUCGGUUUCGAGUGACUUGAAUUGAUUAAAAAACUUCUUUACAUCUUAUGCGCCUUACAAUUAUAGAAAUUUUACGACAAAGUGUCAAGAUAACAGAAUGUCAAGACAACAGACAAAGUGUCAAGAUAACAGAAACAGAGUUAGAUUUUUUAAAAAAUCUGUCACUGCAGACUUCAAAUCAUAUUGUACGAUACUGACGCAGAUGAUUAAAAAGUCUUAGUUACUAUUGUGCUAAUAAAUGUUAAGACUAUUAUGUCAGUCCACGAAUAUUAUUUUUCGUUUGUGAUAUCUUACAAGAGCUUCGUUCGCAAGUCGAAUCUCCUCCUGGUACUGCAAAAGUCGCUGUUCCAUUGCAGCUUUUUCUCUCUCAGCCGCUUCCCUUAACUGUUUCUCUCGUGCUAGUUUACUUCUUUCCACUUGCCUCCUAAUAACAACACAAACAUUUUAAAACAACAUCUGUGUGAAAAAAAAUCAAUUUAUGAUCAAACUACAUCAAAUAUCAAGUCGGAUAGUGCAUAACUUAUAUCUUAUCUACAAAGUAUAU